AGGUCAUACCAUACCACCCUGAACCCAAGAUCUCAUCUGAUCUUGGAAGAUAAGCAGGGUAAGGCCUGGUUAGUACUUGGAUGGGAGAAGAGGGAGAAAGAGGACAGAACUA
rnacentral:rRNA from 1 species